GAUGUCUUUGAGGAAAAUGAAAGCGGUCGUGGCCAGGACUGGCGCAGCUGCCGUUUCAGGCGAGGGGCGCAGAAUGCAGCGGCCGCCAGCCUGGAGCGCGGGCCCUGAGGCCGCAGCCCGCGCCGGGCGAGGUGGCAGCACACCCUGGGCCCCCAACUCCCCGCCGCAAGUCCUGAGGAUGGCCAGUAGAGAAACAAGAAAAUGGACUCCCUGGCUGCUGGAGAGUUGAAUGCCAGGCACCAGCCAUGGGUGCCAGAGUUUGUAGCCUAUUGGAGGAAAACACACCAAGACCAUCAUUGAAUGUUUAAAAUAUAUUUGUACUGGAGAUUUCCCUCCUGGAACCAAAGGAAAUACAUUUGUACACGAUCCCAAGGUUGCUCAAGAAACAGAUGUGAGAGCCCAGAUCCGUCUGCAAUUUCGUGAUGUCAAUGGAGAACUUAUAGCUGUACAAAGAUCUAUGGUGUGUACUCAGAAAAGCAAAAAGACAGAAUUUAAAACUCUGGAAGGAGUCAUUACUAGAACAAAGCAUGGUGAAAAGGUCAGUCUGAGCUCUAAGUGUGCAGAAAUUGACCGAGAAAUGAUCAGUUCUCUUGGGGUUUCCAAGGCUGUGCUAAAUAAUGUCAUUUUCUGUCAUCAAGAAGAUUCUAAUUGGCCUUUAAGUGAAGGAAAGGCUUUGAAGCAAAAGUUUGAUGAGAUUUUUUCAGCAACAAGGUUUGUAACCCUUAAAUAGACUUUGUAGUCCAUUAAGUUAUUGAACUGUGUUUGCAAUUUGGAUGCUUCUUUUUAACAGAAAAAAUUUAAAAAGCAGAAAGGUCAUCAGUUACUACCUCUCACCCAGCAGCAACCAUUGGGCAUAUUUUCUUUCACUUGUCUUUCUGUGCGUAUAUUUAUUUACCUGAUUGACAGUAUAAAUGUAAUUUUUUUCACUUACCAUUAUGUCAUAGGCAUUUUUACAAGUUAUUAAAAACUCAUUGUAACUGUAAUCUUAGUGAUAGCAUAAUAUCCCACUGUAUGAAUAUAUACCAUAAUUUACUUUGCCAGAAAUUUGAUUUUUGUUUCAUAUCUUCAAAGAUACAUUAAAGCCUUGGAAACACUUCGGCAGGUACGUCAGACACAAGGUCAGAAAGUAAAAGAAUAUCAAAUGGAACUAAAAUAUCUGAAGCAAUAUAAGGAAAAAGCUUGUGAGAUUCGUGAUCAGAUUACAAGUAAGGAAGCCCAGUUAACAUCUUCAAAGGAAAUUGUCAAAUCCUAUGAGAAUGAACUUGAUCCAUUGAAGAAUCGUCUAAAAGAAAUUGAACAUAAUCUCUCUAAAAUAAUGAAACUUGACAAUGAAAUUAAAGCCUUGGAUAGCCGAAAGAAGCAAAUGGAGAAAGAUAAUAGUGAACUGGAAGAGAAAAUGGAAAAGGUUUUUCAAGGGACUGAUGAGCAACUAAAUGACUUAUAUCACAAUCACCAGAGAACAGUAAGGGAGAAAGAAAGGAAAUUGGUAGAUUGUCAUCGUGAACUGGAAAAACUAAACAAAGAAUCUAGGCUUCUCAAUCAGGAAAAAUCAGAACUGCUUGUUGAACAGGGUCGUCUACAGCUGCAAGCAGAUCGCCAUCAAGAACAUAUCCGAGCUAGAGAUUCAUUAAUUCAGUCUUUGGCAACACAGCUAGAAUUGGAUGGCUUUGAGCGUGGACCAUUCAGUGAAAGACAGAUUAAAAAUUUUCACAAACUUGUGAGAGAGAGACAAGAAGGGGAAGCAAAAACUGCCAACCAACUGAUGAAUGACUUUGCAGAAAAAGAGACUCUGAAACAAAAACAGAUAGAUGAGAUAAGAGAUAAGAAAACUGGAUUGGGAAGAAUAAUUGAGUUAAAAUCAGAAAUCCUAAGUAAGAAGCAGAAUGAGCUGAAAAAUGUGAAGUAUGAAUUACAGCAGUUGGAAGGAUCUUCAGACAGGAUUCUUGAACUGGACCAGGAGCUCAUAAAAGCUGAACGUGAGUUAAGCAAGGCUGAGAAAAACAGCAAUGUAGAAACCUUAAAAAUGGAAGUAAUAAGUCUCCAAAAUGAAAAAGCAGACUUAGACAGGACCCUGCGUAAACUUGACCAGGAGAUGGAGCAGUUAAACCAUCAUACAACAACACGUACCCAAAUGGAGAUGCUGACCAAAGACAAAGCUGACAAAGAUGAACAAAUCAGAAAAAUAAAAUCUAGGCACAGUGAUGAAUUAACCUCACUGUUGGGAUAUUUUCCCAACAAAAAACAGCUUGAAGACUGGCUACAUAGUAAAUCAAAAGAAAUUAAUCAGACCAGGGACAGACUUGCCAAAUUGAACAAGGAACUAGCUUCAUCUGAGCAGAAUAAAAAUCAUAUAAAUAAUGAACUAAAAAGAAAGGAAGAGCAGUUAUCCAGUUACGAAGACAAGCUGUUUGAUGUUUGUGGUAGCCAGGAUUUUGAAAGUGAUUUAGACAGGCUUAAAGAGGAAAUUGAAAAAUCAUCAAAACAGCGAGCCAUGCUGGCUGGAGCCACAGCAGUUUACUCCCAGUUCAUUACUCAGCUAACAGACGAAAACCAGUCAUGUUGCCCCGUUUGUCAGAGAGUUUUUCAGACAGAGGCUGAGUUACAAGAAGUCAUCAGUGAUUUGCAGUCUAAACUGCGACUUGCUCCAGAUAAACUCAAGUCAACAGAAUCAGAGCUAAAAAAAAAGGAAAAGCGGCGUGAUGAAAUGCUGGGACUUGUGCCCAUGAGGCAAAGCAUAAUUGAUUUGAAGGAGAAGGAAAUACCAGAAUUAAGAAACAAACUGCAGAAUGUCAAUAGAGACAUACAGCGCCUAAAGAACGACAUAGAAGAACAAGAAACACUCUUGGGUACAAUAAUGCCUGAAGAAGAAAGUGCUAAAGUAUGCCUGACAGAUGUUACAAUUAUGGAGAGGUUCCAGAUGGAACUUAAAGAUGUUGAAAGAAAAAUUGCACAACAAGCAGCUAAGCUACAAGGAAUAGACUUAGAUCGAACUGUCCAACAAGUCAACCAGGAGAAACAAGAGAAACAGCACAAGUUAGACACAGUUUCUAGUAAGAUUGAAUUGAAUCGUAAGCUUAUACAGGACCAGCAGGAACAGAUUCAACAUCUAAAAAGUACAACAAAUGAGCUAAAAUCUGAGAAACUUCAGAUAUCCACUAAUUUGCAACGUCGUCAGCAACUGGAGGAGCAGACUGUGGAAUUAUCCACUGAAGUUCAGUCUUUGUACAGAGAGAUAAAGGAUGCUAAAGAGCAGGUAAGCCCUUUGGAAACAACAUUGGAAAAGUUCCAGCAAGAAAAAGAAGAAUUAAUCAACAAAAAAAAUACAAGCAACAAAAUAGCACAGGAUAAACUGAAUGAUAUUAAAGAGAAGGUUAAAAAUAUUCAUGGCUAUAUGAAAGACAUUGAGAAUUAUAUUCAAGAUGGGAAAGACGACUAUAAGAAGGUAAUUUAAAACUUAAAAUUAUUUAUUUGAUUGUAUUUUUAUUUCAUGUGCUUAAAGAAUUUUCUUUUUUUGUAGCAAAAAGAAACUGAACUUAAUAAAGUAAUAGCUCAACUAAGUGAAUGCGAGAAACACAAAGAAAAGAUAAAUGAAGAUAUGAGAAUCAUGAGACAAGAUAUUGAUACACAGAAGAUACAAGAAAGGUGGCUACAAGAUAACCUUACUUUAAGAAAAAGAAAUGAGGAACUAAAAGAAGUUGAAGAAGAAAGAAAACAACAUUUGAAGGAAAUGGGUCAAAUGCAGGUUUUGCAAAUGAAAAGUGAACAUCAGAAGUUGGAAGAGAACAUAGACAAUAUAAAAAGAAAUCAUAAUUUGGCAUUAGGGCGACAGAAAGGUUAUGAAGAAGAAAUUAUUCAUUUUAAGAAAGAACUUCGAGAACCACAAUUUCGGGAUGCUGAGGAAAAGUAUAGAGAAAUGAUGAUUGUUAUGAGGACAACAGAACUUGUGAACAAGGAUCUGGAUAUUUAUUAUAAGACUCUUGACCAAGCAAUAAUGAAAUUUCACAGUAUGAAAAUGGAAGAAAUCAAUAAAAUUAUACGUGACCUGUGGCGAAGUACCUAUCGUGGACAAGACAUUGAAUACAUAGAAAUACGGUCUGAUGCCGAUGAAAAUGUAUCAGCUUCUGAUAAAAGGCGGAGUUAUAACUACCGAGUGGUGAUGCUGAAGGGAGACACAGCCUUGGAUAUGCGAGGACGAUGCAGUGCUGGACAAAAGGUAUUAGCCUCACUCAUCAUUCGCCUGGCCCUGGCUGAAACGUUCUGCCUCAACUGUGGCAUCAUUGCCUUAGAUGAGCCAACAACAAACCUUGACCGAGAAAACAUUGAAUCUCUUGCACAUGCUCUGGUUGAGAUAAUAAAAAGUCGCUCACAGCAGCGUAACUUCCAGCUUCUGGUAAUCACUCAUGAUGAAGAUUUUGUGGAGCUUUUAGGACGUUCUGAAUAUGUGGAGAAAUUCUACAGGAUUAAAAAGAACAUCGAUCAGUGCUCAGAGAUUGUGAAAUGCAGUGUUAGCUCCCUGGGAUUCAAUGUUCAUUAAAAAUAUCCAAGAUUUAAGUGCCCUAGAAAUGUAGGUCCUCAGAAAGUGUAUAAUAAGAAACUUAUUUCUGAUAUCAACUUAGUCAAUAAGAAAAUAUAUUCUUUCAAAAGAACAUUGUGUCUAGGAUUUUGGAUGUUGAGCGGUUCUAAAAUCAUUAAACUUGUUUGUUUCACUGAAAAUUGGACAGAUUGCCUGUUUCUGAUUUGCUGCUCUUCAUCCCAUUCCAGGCAGCCUCUGACAGGCUUUCAGGGUUCAGCAGUACAGCCGAGACUCGACUCUGUGCCUCCCUCCCCAGUGCAAAUGCAUGCUUCUUCUCAAAGCACUGUUGAGAAGGAGAUAAUUACUGCCUUGAAAAUUUAUGGUUUUGGUAUUUUUUUUAAAUCAUAGUUAAAUGUUACCUCUGAAUUUAUUUCCUUGCAUGUGGUUUGAAAAACUGAGUAUUAAUAUCUGAGGAUGACCAGAAAUGGUGAGAUGUAUGUUUGGCUCUGCUUUUAACUUUAUAAAUCCAGUGACCUCUCUCUCUGGGACUUGGUUUCCCCAACUAAAAUUUGAAGUAGUUGAAUGGGGUCUCAAAGUUUGACAGGAACCUUAAGUAAUCAUCUAAGUCAGUACCCACCACCUUCUUCUCCUACAUAUCCCUUCCAGAUGGUCAUCCAGACUCAGAGCUCUCUCUACAGAGAGGAAAUUCUCCACUGUGCACACCCGCACACCCACCUUUGGAAAGCUCUGACCACUUGAGGCCUGAUCUGCCCAUCAUGGAGAAGCCUGUAACACUCCUCUGCGUCUAUCCUGUGUAGCAUACUGGCUUCACCAUCAAUCCUGAUUCCUCUCCAAGUGGGCAUUGCCAUGUGGAAGGCAAGCCAGGCUCACUCACAAAGUCAAGGCCUGCUCCCCGUAGGGUCCAACCAGACCUGGAAGAGCAGGCCUCUCCAUUUGCUCUUCAGAUGCCAUUUCUAAGAAAAGCCUAAUCACAGUUUUUCCUGGAAUUGCCAGCUGACAUCUUGAAUCCUUUCAUUCCACACAGAAUGCAACCAAGUCACACGCUUUUGAAUUAUGCUUUGUAGAGUUUUGUCAUUCAGAGUCAGCCAGGACCAUACCGGGUCUUGAUUCAGUCACGUGGCAUGGUUUUGUGCCAUCUGUAGCUAUAAUGAGCAUGUUUGCCUAGACAGCUUUUCUCAACUGGGUCCAGAAGAGAAUUAAGCCCUAAGGUCCUAAGGCAUCUAUCUGUGCUAGGUUAAAUGGUUGGCCCCCAAAGAUAGACAGGUCCUGAUUUCUAGAACCCGUGACUGUUACUUUAUACAGCAAAGGAAACUUUGCAGAUGUGAUUAAAGCUAAGGACCUUAAGACAGAGUAUCCUGGGGGGGGGGGUUGGGGGGGGGGUCCUAAAUGUAAUCACGAGUAAGAUUAAGAGCAAAUCAAUUCUAGUCAUAUAUUAAACAUCCACAAUAACCAAGAUAUUUUUAUCCCAAGAAUGCAAGAUUUCAGAAAAUGAAAAAUCUGUUGAUAAAUCCAUCACUAUAAUAAAACCGAAGGGGAAAAAAAUUCUGAAAAAAUUCUAGCAGCUAUAUUUGAUAAAAUUCAACAUCUCCUAGCUUUAGCAAACUCACAGUUUGCAAAUAAUAUUUUCUUAAUGUUAUCUGUUGCUAAACAAAAUUAAAGUCAUCUUAAUUGCAAAAUAAAACAUUUCUCAGUAAAUAUUAAAGCCAGUUACCUUCUAUCAACAUGUUAAUGAAAGUGCUAGUUGUUGCAGCAAAGAAUAACAAAGGCAAUACAAGAUCAAUAUAGGCAGUGAAACAAAAGUAUCAUUUGCAAGUUAAAACAGACUUCCCAAUUUUAAAUCUGGUUUCCCCCUGAAUAUGUGGCAUCCUUGGCAGCACUUCUGAGAGUGGCUGCUUUCAUUCCAAGAAGCCCAUGGGUUUGGAGGUGGGAUAGGUGCCUUUCUGGCUUCUCAUUGCUGCUUCUAGAUCAGUCUCCAAAUAUCCCCCUUCCCCACAUUGGAAUGAAUAGCCAUCACAGCAUGGAUGGAGGUUAGAAUGAGCCAGACUGCCUGGGCUCAAAUCCUAGCACACCACUCACUAGCUGGGGACCUUGAGCAAGUUAUAUGUCCUGUUUUGUUUCUGUUUCCUUAUAUGUAAAAGUGGGUAAAAUGGUACAUAUUUUGUAGGGUUGUUAUGAAGAUUGAAUGACAUUAUUUACAAACUGCUUAGAACUGCUUGCCACCUACUAAAUACUGUGUAAGUGUUCAAGAAAAAGCUGUCUUCAUUUCACUCUUGUUGCAGUUAUCUUUCAUCCCCAGCUUGGUCACUCCCUCUUAUUUGUUGAAGAGUUUAGCUCCCGGUUCAGUGUCACCCCAUUACUAAUAAUCAUUGCUGAUUUCAAUAUCCAAGUGAUGGUCUAAUACAACUCCUUGGCCUCUCAGUCUUUUUUUAUUUUUUGAGGUGGAGUCUUGCUCUGUCACCCAGGCUGGAGUGCAAUGGCACCAUCUCAGCUCACUGCAACCUCUGCCUCCCUGAUACAAGCAAUCCUCCUGCCUCAGCCUCCCAAGUAGCUAGGAAUACAGGCACGUACCACCACACCAGGCUAAUUUUUGUAUUUUAGUAGAGACAGGGUUUCGCCUUGUUGGCCAGGCUGGUCUUGAACGUCUGGCCUCAAGUGAUCUGCCUGCCUCGGCCUCCCUCAGCCCCUUUUUAUUUCCUCCAGUGAGAAGAUACUCAGUUCUAUGGUCUUAUUCUAGAGCCCGGUCCUUUUAAUAACAAUAACUGCACCCCUCCAAAAUCUCAGUUUUAAGCAUCUCACUCUCCAAUAACCCCAUGGUGUCUACAAUUUUCCUGUGGUCCUCAACCCCAGCAAUUCUUUGACCCCACUGAGAUUUCAAUCCAUUGAUUCUAUGGCUUUUUCACAGGUUGUUUCCCUGAUGCCUGUACUUCUCUCCUUAUUCAACUUAAAUUCCAUGGCUCAUCAUUAUGUCACCCUCCACUGCAUUGUCCUCAAACUGUCCUGACAAUCCCCAACCCUACUGGAAUCCAGCUCUGCCUCCUCCCUGCAACCUCCUUGCAACACCUGCACAUCCCGUUUCCUUUGCUGUUUCCUCCUCAUUUCCCUGGCCCCUCAAUGUCACAGGUUUUAGUACUCAGAGUCUGCACCUCUUUUCUUCUCUGUGCUCACUUAUUUGGUGAUCUCAUCCAGUCUCAUAGCUUUAAAUUAUCUUAGUUUGGGUUCUCCCAGAAGCAGAGCGUAAAACAAUGCUUCAUGUGAAAGUAAUCAGUAGGAAAUUGGGGAAAUUGUGUAUGAAAGAGAAAGCAGCCAAUGAAAAGUUUACUAUUAAGCCAGCUACGGUAAGUGGGCAAUUAGAGUUUGGUGCCCCAGGGAGACUCUGGGGAGUUUGGCAAAAUAUAUACCUCAGAAUUAUCCCACCUAAGGGGCAAGAGACCUGGAGUAUUUAUAUAACAACUUGCCAGGGUUACUGAGUGAGGGCUAUUCUAGCACAUGUUAGUUACUGGCUUGCCAUGUGUACCGGCACAGCUGCUUUCCACAGUUUAAAAAGAAAGUCUGAGCAACAUAGUGACAUCCCAUCUUUACAUAAAAUUUUUUAAAAAUUAGCAAGGCAUGGUGGUGCACACCUGUAGUCUCAGCUACUCGGCUGAGAUAGGAGGAUCCCUGGAGUCUGAGGGUUCAAGGCUGCAGUGAGCUGUGAUUUGUGCCACUGCACCCCAGCCUGGGUGGCAGAGUGAGACCC
rnacentral:sRNA from 1 species